UGUAUCGCCGAAUUUGCUGCCUG
rnacentral:siRNA from 1 species